CAGAAAAUAGUUUAAUAAAAAUAUCAGCUUUGGGAGUUGAUGAUAAAGGUUUAAUUCCUUUUUUUCUGA
rfam:Tinamus guttatus contig40389, whole genome shotgun sequence.